rnacentral:rRNA from 1 species
AUUGAACGCUAGCGGGAUGCUUUACACAUGCAAGUCGAACGGCAGCGCGGACUUCGGUCUGGCUGCGAGUGGCGCACGGGUGAGUAAUGUAUCGGAACGUGCCCAGUAGCGGUGGAUAACUACGCGAAAGCGUAGCUAAUACCGCCUACGCCCUACGGGGGCAAGCAGGGGAUCGUAAGACCUUGCACUAUUGGAGCGGCCGAUGUCGGACUAGCUAGUUUGUGAGGUAACGGCUCACCAAGGCGACGAUCCGUAGCUGGCUGGAGAGGACGACCAGCCACACUGGGACUGAGACACGGCCCAGACUCCUACGGGAGGCAGCAGUGGGGAAUGGUGGACAAUGGGGGCAAACCUGAUCCAGCCAUCCCGCGUGUGAGAUGAAGGCCUUCGGGUUGUAAAGCACUUUUGGCAGGAAAGAAACGUCGCGGGCUAAUACCCCGUGGAACUGACGGUACCUGCAGAAUAAGCACCGGCUAACUACGUG